rnacentral:misc_RNA from 1 species
GAUGAAGAACGUAGUGAAAUGCGAUACGUAAUGUGAAUUGCAGAAUUCAGUGAAUCAUCGAGUCUUUGAACGCACAUUGCGCCCCCUGGUAUUCCGGGGGACAUGCCUGUCCGAGCGUCAUUGCUGCCCUCAAGCACGGCUUGUGUGUUGGGCCUCCGUCCUCCUCCCGGGGGACGGGCCCGAAAGGCAGCGGCGGCACCGCGUCCGGUCCUCGAGCGUAUGGGGCUUCGUCACCCGCUCUUGUAGGCCCGGCCGGCGCUUGCCGACACAUCAAUCUUUUUUCCAGGUUGACCUCGGAUCAGGUAGGGAUACCCGCUGAACUUAAGCAUAUCAAUAAGCGGAGGA